UACGUAGGGAGCAAGCGUUGUUCGGAUUUACUGGGCGUAAAGGGCGCGUAGGCGGCGCUGUAAGUCACUUGUGAAAUCUCUGAGCUUAACUCAGAACGGCCAAGUGAUACUGCAGUGCUAGAGUGCAGAAGGGGCAAUCGGAAUUCUUGGUGUAGCGGUGAAAUGCGUAGAUAUCAAGAGGAACACCUGAGGUGAAGGCGGGUUGCUAGGCUGACACUGACGCUGAGGCGCGAAAGCCAGGGGAGCAAACGGG
rnacentral:rRNA from 1 species